NUCCAGCUGACGAGUCCCAAAUAGGACGAAAUGCGCAUCCUGGAU
rnacentral:hammerhead_ribozyme from 1 species